rnacentral:sRNA from 1 species
AUUAAAUGCAAGAUUACAGAAGUUGAAAUUACGCAUUGAAGAUUUAAAAGAGGAUUACAGUAUUAAAGUCCAAAUGAUUAAAGAUCUGGAGGAGAGUCAUUUAAAAUGUAAAGCAUAUAUGA